UCAGAGGGAAGCUCACUGCUGAGGUCACGUGCAGGGUGCUUGUCACUCACUGGCUAACGCCUCUGGGAAGGUCUGAGACAAGAGCCACUAGCUGCCCUAGCAGGGUGUCACCUGCUGCAGGUGAAUGAGUUACCAGCAAUGGUGGGCUCUGGGGGUGGGGCCCAAAUUGGGCAGGAGAAACUAGGGGAAGUCCCUCUAGUGGAUGCCCAGCCCCCUCCUAUGGGUUUGGGACAGACUCAUAGCUGGCCUGGUGAGUCCAAUGGGAUGAGGUGAGACCUGCAAGCUACAUGCAGGCCUUAUAACCUAAUUCAGACUACUCUCCCUCUGA
rnacentral:RNase_P_RNA from 1 species